CGGCGAUUGGGGGUGCUUGUCCUCAUUAGCUGGCAGCAGGUGAUUUCAAUAAUGACUCAUCAAGUGAGGCUGUGAAAAUCCCGAUUGAGGGAUCGUCAGCCACAAUGGCGGUGAUGCAUGUGAGAGGAAUGCUUCUCUCCAAUAACUGGGAUGGCUCUCCCACUCCUGGCGAAAUCCUUUGAGGCCACCCAGAGUUCUGGCGGAUAAAUCAUGAAUGGCAGGAAGAAAAAAAACGGAUUGGAAUUCGAGAGGUAACAGAAUAACAUGGCGGGCAGCAUUGCGAGAGAAACUUCUGCAGAAGUUCCGCAGGGACAGCUCAGGGCCCGAUAAGCGCUUGUCCUCUUCUCAGGAAGCACAAGCCAUUUGCCCCCGAUGCUUAUCUGAUACAUUCUCCUUCCUGCUGGCUACCUCAGGCUGACUUUCUUCCAGGGCUUCAAGCUUCAGUACAUCCUCCAGAGGAAUGUCAGGAGACACGUCUCAGUUCCAUCCUGGAGAUAUGUCUCGAUUGCCUAAUGCUUUAACAUGCAAGGAUCAUACUUGAGGUUCGGGCCAAGACCUCCCUGAUGCUAACCCUUCUUCCUAACUGGCCAUAAUGCAAUAUUCUUCUCCAUGGUUUUUUUGUCUGUGACUAAAGUUAAUCUGUGUUUCUCAUAAACUGGACUUGUUGAGCAGUGUAUCAAAAUAUCAUUUUCCAUGGAAGGAUUUAACUAAAAAAUAAAAGAAUUAGGCCAGUGAAUGAAAAAAAAACAGUAUGGCCUUUGACUGAACAAUCAGAGAAUGAGAGGGAAAAUAUUUCACCGCAAGGCUGCUGUUCUCUCCCAGUGAUGCUUUUUCAGGUUC